rnacentral:tRNA from 1 species
AUUCUUUUAAUAUAACCAGUAUAGUUGACUUCCAAUCAACCAGUCUUGGUAAACACCAAGAAAGAAUA